rnacentral:rRNA from 1 species
CAGCCGCCGCGGUAAUACCGGCGGCCCGAGUGGCGGUCACUAUUAUUGGGCUUAAAGCGUCCGUAGCCGGGUUGGGAAGUCCUCCGGGAAAUCUGGCCGCUUAACGGUCAGAAUGCCGGAGGAUACUCCCAGCCUAGGGAGCGGGAGAGGCCGAGGGUAUUCCCGGAGUAGGGGUGAAAUCCUAUAAUCCCGGGAGGACCACCUGUGGCGAAGGCGCUCGGCUGGAACGCGUCCGACGGUGAGGGACGAAGGCCAGGGGAGCAAACCGGAUUAGAUACCCGGGUAGUCCUGGCUGUAAAGGAUGCGGGCUAGGUGUCGGGUGAGCUUCGGGCUCGCCCGGUGCCGUAGGGAAGCCGUUAAGCCCGCCGCCUGGGGAGUACGGCCGCAAGGCUGAAACUUAAAGGAAUUGGCGGG